rnacentral:rRNA from 1 species
CUCCCUGAUACUUUAAGUAUCCUAAAGGGUUGUCGUAGACUACGACGUUGAUAGGCAGGGUGUGUAAGCGUUGUGAGGCGUUGAGCUAACCUGUACUAAUUGCCCGUGAGGCUUAACCAUACAACACCCAAGGGGUUU